CCCUUAGAUGUCCUGGGCCGCACGCGCGCUACACUGAACGGAUCAGCGCGUUUUCCCUUCCCGAGAGGGACGGGUAACCUGCUGAACCCCGUUCGUGGUAGGGAUCGGGGCUUGCAAUUAUUCCCCGUGAACCAGGAAUGCCCAGUAAGUGCAAGUCAUAAGCUUGCGUUGAUUACGUCCCUGCCCUUUGUACACACCGCCCGUCGCUACUACCGAUUGAACGGUCCGGUGAAGCCUCCGGAUUGGCGCGCACCUCGGUGCCGCCGAGAAGUUGGCUAAACCUUACCAUUUAGAGGAAGGUGAAGUCGUAACA
rnacentral:rRNA from 1 species